rnacentral:rRNA from 1 species
UACGUAUGGUGCAAGCGUUAUCCGGAUUUACUGGGUGUAAAGGGUGCGUAGGUGGAACGGCAAGUCAGAUGUGAAAACCCGGGGCUCAACCCCGUGACUGCAUUUGAAACUGUCGAUCUAGAGUGCAGGAGAGGAAAGCGGAAUUCCUAGUGUAGCGGUGAAAUGCGUAGAUAUUAGGAGGAACACCAGUGGCGAAGGCGGCUUUCUGGACUGUUACUGACACUGAGGCACGAAAGCGUGGGGAG